CUUGGGUUUCCCCACCCUGCUGUCUCUGUCUGUGUGUGGUUAUGGGCGUGUCACUGUGGCUUCCUCUCUCCUGGCUGUUCUCCACCGGCAGAAGCUCUCACCUGUGGCUCAUCCUGUAAUCAACCUCCUCAAUGAAAUACACUGGCUCUUCACCACGUCAGUAAACCUUUAGUGAAUCCCAGCCUGUUUGAGGAUGCUGCCUGCCUGCCUUAAAUUGUUUGCUGCAGGACGCAGCCCAUCAAGCCGGAGCCUGCCUUGGAGCCCUCUCACAUGUCUGCCCGCUUUCCACACCCCAAUCCACUUCUUGCUACUCUACUAUAAAUCUGCUUGAGUUAA